CCCCUCUCAGGGUCACACCUGGAGAGUUUCCAGGACUCUACCAGUCUUGACUAUGGGUGGGAGAGUCAAUCAGAGGCAAAUCCAUUCCAUUCCUAGCUUGGGCAGUGGCUAGCUAGUGGAAGUUAAUCCGCUACAAGU